GUGACUGUGUCUGUGUUGUGGGUCACUGUCAUUCUCUUGGGAGAACAAAACACAAACUCAUUCUUGUGAAUUUUCAUUUGGACUCUUGCUUGCUACCAGUGUCUUACUUUGAUGCUCUCUCUCUCUCUCUCUCUCUCUCCUGAUCUCUGCACCCUAAUGAAAUGUACAAUUCUUCCUUUCCUUUUCGAGAACCCCACUACACAUGUUCUGAAUGUGAAAUCCCUUUUUCUUUGAUCAAAUGCCAAAAUGUCUCUACCUUUUGCUUCUUGGUGGGGUUGCUCUACCUCUAGGGUUCUUGUUUUCUCACCCUUUUGAGUUUGUUUGUGUGGCCUUCUUCAAAUAUUCGCUUUCUUUGUUCACUUGUGCACAAUUUUGAUAAAAGACCCUUUUGUUUUUCUCAAGCUCUGGUCACAAUUCCCAGCUCAAAAUCCUGAAUUUCCUCCUCAUCUCUUCUGCUGAUUUUUGCCUCUAGGGUUUGUUUAUGUUUCUCAAAGCCUGUUUCCCAAAAGGGUUGAAGAAUAAAGCUUGGAGCCACAAUGCGGAGUUUCAGAAGCUCCUAAGCUAUAGUUCCCACCCAGAAUUGCACUAUUGAGUUUUAGUUUGUGCUUUGCUUCCAGGCCUUGAUUUCAGUAGCAUAGCUUCUUUUUCAAACAUGGGUUGUAUCCAUGGCAAGUGCUGUAGCCGCUACCCUUCAACUUCAGUGGGUGGCUCCCGGGACUACAGAGAACUUGGACCUUACUGUUCCCAAAGAAAGCAUAUACUCACUCAGAGAUCACUGCAGUUUGUUCCUGUCCCUUCCCACAACUUCACUUUGGAAUACUCUUUUCUCACUCAGCGGGGAUACUACCCUGACUCAAUUGAUAAAGAAAACCAAGAUAGUUUCUGCAUUAGGACACAAGUUCAAGGUAACUCAAAUGUCCAUUUCUUUGGUGUCUUUGAUGGGCAUGGUGAAUUUGGUGGCCAGUGUUCAAACUUUGUUAAGGAUAGGUUGGUAGAAAAUUUGUCAAAUGACCCUGCACUUUUGGAGGACCCUGUUAAAUCCUACACUUCAGCAUUCUUGACAACAAAUGAUGAAUUGCAUGAGAAUGAGAUUGAUGAUUCUAUGAGUGGCACUACCGCAAUUACAGUGCUAGUUAUUGGAAACACCCUUUAUGUUGCUAAUGUUGGUGAUUCGAGAGCUGUGCUGGCUGUUAAGGAUGGGGAUCGGAUUGUUGCUGAGGACUUGUCAUCUGAUCAGACACCCUUUCGGAGAGAUGAAUAUCAAAGAGUAAAACUUUGUGGGGCAAGGGUGUUGAGUGUUGAUCAGGUGGAAGGGAAUAAGGAUCCGGAUAUCCAGAGUUGGGGUAAUGAAGAGAGUCAGGGUGAUGAUCCUCCGAGAUUGUGGGUUCAGAAUGGGAUGGUUCCGGGAACUGCUUUUACAAGGAGUGUAGGGGAUGAUUUGGCAGAGACUAUCGGUGUCAUUGCUGUUCCAGAGGUGUCAACGGUUCAGCUUACACCUAAUCAUCUUUUCUUUGUUGUUGCAAGUGAUGGCAUAUUUGAGUUCCUAAGUAGCCAAAAUGUUGUUGAUAUGGCAGCAAGUUAUCCAGAUCCCCGUGAUGCAUGUGCUGCCAUUGCUGGAGAGUCUUAUAAACUAUGGUUGGAACAUGAGGGCCGUACAGAUGAUAUAACGAUUAUCAUUGUUCAGAUCAAAGGCCUGCCUAAUUCAGGUACAUCUGGAGUAGGAUCAGGUGAGUUCAAUAUGAGUACUGUAACAAGGGCUAAGAGGGGAAAGGGAACUUCAGAGAUAUCUGCUACCACUGGUUUAGAUGUUUAUCGUUCUGGGAGGAGUGGUUUCUCUGAUAUACAGUCCUGCCAGCAUAUGGUCUCAAUGAGAAGCCAAGCCAUAGUGGUCCCCUCUCCAGCAUGUCAAAGGCCAAUUUAAUUGUAAUUGGAGAGAGGCUUUAUGGAAGCUUCACCAAAUCUCCUCUUACUUUCUCCUAGAAGCACUUCAGGAGCACACUGGAACGUACCUUUUUGGAUAGCACUGCACCUCCACUCUUCAGAUUCAAACAUUUGAUUGAGAUAAAGGAGAGUAGUGACUAACUUACUAACAUUUGCAUUGAAUCAUGGUCAAUGGUCAACUAAGAAGGCAGGCCAAAUGCUACUUAGAAACAUAUCUAGAUUUUUUAUUGCGUUUCAA